ACGGCUCAGUAACACGUAGUCAACCUACCCUACGGACGGGAAUAACCUCGGGAAACUGAGUACAAUGCCCGAUAGGACACCAUGCCUGGAACGGCUCGUGUCCCAAACGACCUGUCGCCGUAGGAUGGGACUGCGGCCUAUCAGUUUGUUGGUGAGGUAAUGGCCCACCAAGACUAUUACAGGUACGGGCUCUGAGAGGAGUAGCCCGGAGAUGGGUACUGAGACACGGACCCAGGCCCUAUGGGGCGCAGCAGGCGAGAAAACUUUGCAAUGUGCGAAAGCACGACAAGGUUAAUCCGAGUGGUUUCUGCUAAAGGAACCUUUUGACAGUCCUAGAAACACUGUUGAAUAAGGGGUGGGCAAGUUCUGGUGUCAGCCGCCGCGGUAAAACCAGCACCUCAAGUGGUCAGGAUGGUUAUUGGGCCUAAAGCAUCCGUAGCCGGCCCAGUCAGUUUUCGGUUAAAUCUGUGCGCUCAACGUACAGGCUGCCGGGAAUACUGCUGGGCUAGGGAGUGGGAGAGGUAGACGGUACUCGGUAGGAAGGGGUAAAAUCCUUUGAUCUAUUGAUGACCACCUGUGGCGAAGGCGGUCUACCAGAACACGUCCGACGGUGGGGGAUGAAAGCUGGGGGAGCAAACCGGAUUAGAUACCCGGGUAGUCCCAGCUGUAAACCAUGCAAACUCAAUGAUGCAUUGGCUUUUGGCCAAUGCAGUGUUGCAGGGAAGCCGUUAAGUUUGCCGCCUGGGAAGUACGUACGCAAGUAUGAAACUUAAAGGAAUUGGCGGGGGAGCACCACAAGGGGUGAAGCCUGCGGUUC
rnacentral:rRNA from 1 species